GACGAACGCUGCGGCGUGCUUCACCCAUGCCAGUCGCACGGAAAGGCCCUGCUUUUGUGGGGUGCUCGAGUGGCGAACGGGUGAGUAACACGUGAGUAACCUGCCCUUGACUUUGGGAUAACUUCAGGAAACUGGGGCUAAUACCGGAUAGGAGCUCCUGCUGCAUGGUGGGGGUUGGAAAGUUUCGGCGGUUGGGGAUGGACUCGCGGCUUAUCAGCUUGUUGGUGGGGUAGUGGCUUACCAAGGCUUUGACGGGUAGCCGGCCUGAGAGGGUGACCGGCCACAUUGGGACUGAGAUACGGCCCAGACUCCUACGGGAGGCAGCAGUGGGGAAUAUUGCACAAUGGGCGGAAGCCUGAUGCAGCAACGCCGCGUGCGGGAUGACGGCCUUCGGGUUGUAAACCGCUUUCGCCUGUGACGAAGCGUGAGUGACGGUAAUGGGUAAAGAAGCACCGGCUAACUACGUG
rnacentral:rRNA from 1 species